rnacentral:rRNA from 1 species
GACGAACGCUGGCGGCGUGCUUAACACAUGCAAGUCGAGCGAUGAAGUUCCUUCGGGAACGGAUUAGCGGCGUACGGGUGAGUAACACGUGGGUAACCUGCCUCAUAGAGGGGAAUAGCCUUCCGAAAGGAAGAUUAAUACCGCAUAAGAUUGUAGUACCGCAUGGUACAGCAAUUAAAGGAGCAAUCCGCUAUGAGAUGGACCCGCGUCGUAUUAGCUAGUUGGUGAGGUAACGGCUAACCAAGGUGAAGAUGCGUAGCCGACCUGAGAGGGUGAUCGGCCACAUUGGGACUGAGACACGGCCCAGACUCCUACGGGAGGCAGCAGUGGGGAAUAUUGCACAAUGGGGGAAACCCUGAUGCAGCAACGCCGCGUGAGUGAUGACGGUCUUCGGAUUGUAAAACUCUGUCUUCAGGGACGAUAAUGACGGUACCUGAGGAGGAAGCCACGGCUAACUACGUGCCAGCAGCCGCAGUAAGAC